AAAAAAAAAAACUAGUAUGGUUUACUAAAAGGGCUACCGGAAACCUCAAAAUUUUUACCUCCAGCACCCAGCUAUAUCUCCUUCCACUUCAAGACAAUCUGCCAGUGUCCUAGGAUAAUGAUGAUGGCCCCCAUAUCACUCAGGAUAACAGUCUUGACGGACAAUAGUCUGGUUGUCAGUAUUCACGUACACUUCACAUGAUACUCUUGCCUUGAUGGGAAUUUUGAAAAACAAGAGCCCAAGCUC
rnacentral:misc_RNA from 1 species